rnacentral:snRNA from 1 species
GUGCUCACUUUGGCAGCACAUGUACUAAAAUUGGAAUGAUACAGAAAAGAUUAGCAUGGCCCCUGCACAAGGAUGACAUGCAAAUUCAGGAAGCAUUUCACAUUUUU